rnacentral:rRNA from 1 species
GACGAACGCUGGCGGCGUGCUUAACACAUGCAAGUCGAACGAUGAACCCGGAGCUUGCUCCGGUGGAUUAGUGGCGAACGGGUGAGUAACACGUGAGUAACCUGCCCUUGACUCUGGGGUAACUGCGGGAAACUGUAGCUAAUACCGGAUACGACCCUCGGCGGCAUCGCCAGGGGGUGGAAAGAAUUUCGGUCAAGGAUGGACUCGCGGCCUAUCAGCUAGUUGGUGAGGUAACGGCUCACCAAGGCGACGACGGGUAGCCGGCCUGAGAGGGUGACCGGCCACACUGGGACUGAGACACGGCCCAGACUCCUACGGGAGGCAGCAGUGGGGAAUAUUGCACAAUGGGCGCAAGCCUGAUGCAGCAACGCCGCGUGAGGGAUGACGGCCUUCGGGUUGUAAACCUCUUUUAGUAGGGAAGAGGCGAAAGUGACGGUACCUGCGGAAAAAGCACCGGCUAACUACGUGCCAGCCGCCGCGGUAA